rnacentral:rRNA from 1 species
GUCUGUGAUGCCCUUAGAUGUCCUGGGCGGCACGCGCGUUACACUGAUGCACUCAACGAGUCUACCUUGGCCGAGAGGCCUGGGAAAUCUUGUUAACAUGCAUCGUGAUAGGGAUAGAUUAUUGCAAUUAUUAAUCUUGAACGAGGAAUUCCUAGUAAACGCAGAUCAUCAAUCUGCAUUGAUUACGUCCCUGCCCUUUGUACACACCGCCCGUCGCACCUACCGAUUGAAUGGUCCGGUGAAGCCUCGGGAUUGCGAUGAGUUUCCUUCAUUGGGAGUUCGUCGCGAGAACCUGUCUAAACCUUAUCAUUUAGAGGAAGGUGAAGUCGUAACAAGGUUUCC